GAUGAACGCUAGCGGCAGGCCUAACACAUGCAAGUCGAGGGGCAGCACAGAAACAGCAAUGUUUUGGUGGCGACCGGCGGACGGGUGCGUAACGCGUAUGCAACCUACCUUGAACAGGGGGAUAACGGAGAGAAAUUUCCACUAAUACCCCAUAACAUCGAUCAAGGCAUCUUGAUUGGUUGAAAACUCCGGUGGUUAAAGAUGGGCAUGCGUUGUAUUAGGUAGUUGGUGAGGUAAUGGCUCACCAAGCCUACGAUACAUAGGGGGACUGAGAGGUUAGCCCCCCACACUGGUACUGAGACACGGACCAGACUCCUACGGGAGGCAGCAGUGAGGAAUAGUGGUCAAUGGGGGCAACCCUGAACCAGCCAUGCCGCGUGCAGGAAGACGGCUCUAUGAGUUGUAAACUGCUUUUAAACAGGGAUAAAGCACAGUAUGUAUACUGUGUUGAAGGUACUGUAAGAAUAAGGACCGGCUAACUCCGUGCCAGCCGCCGCGGUAA
rnacentral:rRNA from 1 species